AUACAGAGGGUGCAAGCGUUAUUCGGAAUCACUGGGCGUAAAGGACACGUAGGCGGGAAGCCAAGUCUGAUGUGAAAUCCUAUGGCUCAACCAUAGAACUGCAUUGGAAACUGGUUACCUAGAGUAUGGGAGGGGGAGAUGGAAUUAGUGGUGUAGGGGUAAAAUCCGUAGAUAUCACUAGGAAUACCUAAAGCGAAGGCGAUCUCCUGGAACAUUACUGACGCUAAGGUGUGAAAGCGUGGGGAGCAAACGGGAUUAGAAACCCUAGUAGUCC
rnacentral:rRNA from 1 species